GACGAACGCUGGCGGCGUGCCUAAUACAUGCAAGUCGAACGCUGAUUUUUUAACUGAUGCUUGCAUCGACCAAAAAAUCGGAGUGGCGAACGGGUGAGUAACACGUGGGUAACCUGCCUAUCAGAGGGGGAUAACACUUGGAAACAGAUGCUAAUACCGCAUAAACCUCAAAAGCACAUGCUUUUGAGUUGAAAGAUGGCGUAAGCUAUCGCUUUUGGAUGGACCCGCGGCGUAUUAGCUAGUUGGUGAGGUAAAGGCUCACCAAGGCUGUGAUACGUAGCCGACCUGAGAGGGUAAUCGGCCACAUUGGGACUGAGACACGGCCCAAACUCCUACGGGAGGCAGCAGUAGGGAAUCUUCCACAAUGGACGAAAGUCUGAUGGAGCAACGCCGCGUGAGUGAAGAAGGUUUUCGGAUCGUAAAACUCUGUUGUUGGAGAAGAACGUACGUGAGAGUAACUGUUCACGUAGUGACGGUAUCCAACCAGAAAGCCACGGCUAACUACGUGCCAGCAGCCGCAGUAAAAC
rnacentral:rRNA from 1 species